UACGUAGGUGGCAAGCGUUGUCCGGAUUUAUUGGGUUUAAAGGGUGCGUAGGCGGCCCUGUAAGUCAGUUGUGAAAUACGGCAGCUUAACUGUCGAGGUGCAAUUGAUACUGCAGGGCUUGAGUACUGAUGAGGUAGGCGGAAUGGACGGUGUAGCGGUGAAAUGCUUAGAGAUCGUCCAGAACACCGAUAGCGAAGGCAGCUUACUAAGGAGUAACUGACGCUGAGGCACGAAAGCUAGGGGAGCGAACAGG
rnacentral:rRNA from 1 species